UUAUUAUCAUCAUGAAUUUCAACUUCCAAGAAUAAUGAACAGUAAUCCCUGUACCCUUUUCACAAAAAAACUACCACGUGGCCCACUACCUUUGGAAGGUGUAACCAAUCAGCUUCGUAGGUUAAUACUAUAAAAGCUCAUUGUCACUUCUUUCUUCCCUUUUUACGAAAAUCUUCAUCUUCAACCUGAGUUCAUCUCUAAAAAUUCUCUGAAAAUGUUUC
rnacentral:lncRNA from 1 species